UACGUAGGCAGCGAGCGUUGUUCGGAGUUACUGGGCGUAAAGGGUGUGUAGGCGGUUUUCUAAGUUUGGUGUGAAAUCUCCCGGCUUAACCGGGAGGGUGCGCCGAAAACUGGGAGACUAGAGUGCGGGAUGGGAGAGUAGAAUUCCUGGUGUAGCGGUGAAAUGCGUAGAUAUCAGGAGGAACACCCGAGGCGAAGGCGGCUCUCUGGGUCGUACCUGACGCUGAGGCGCGAAAGCGUGGGGAGCGAACGGG
rnacentral:rRNA from 1 species